ACAGAGGGACAGUCCAAUGGUUAGCUACCAGGACUUGUCGGGUUGGCUCUAUAACCGACAGAUGAUAUCAUCAGCCACUAGGGACAGGCAUUCAUCAUAUGCAUACUAUGUGAAUUGUUUGAGAUUGCCUAUUUGACUGCAUAUUACUUGCUAAUUGUCUAAAUGUCUUAACUGCUCCUAUUUGUAUAUUCUUUGUCUGAUAUAACUGUGUUUGCUAUAAUAUACUCCUGCUGGUG
rnacentral:lncRNA from 1 species